UUCCUUCCAGUGUAUCGACUGUACCACUCAGCUUGGUGUCAUCUGCAAACUUGCUGAGGGUGCACUCGAUGCCAUCAUCUAUGUCAUUGAUAAAGAAGAGAAAGCACAUGAAAUAAAAAGCACUGCCAGUGAUUUACUUAUAGUUUUGCAUGGGGCUGGACUGUUCUUGGCUACUGAUUAAUCUGUAUUCCUCUGAAGUAUGUAAUACCAGCCUCUGAAGGUUUAUAGCACUACUGGUUAAUUAAGAAGAGGGUAAGUAGUUUUCUCCCUAUAAUGGGCACGUACUUGGAUGCUGAGAUGCAAAUCAUAGCAUUAGCAAGGAAAAUAGAGGAAAAAAAUAGCAGGUAGUCAAAAAUGAGCUACCUAGUAACCCUCCAGCCCUACAAUUACAUGUGUUUUCUUUGUUCAGGAAUUCUCACAAACAAAUGGACUCUGGCAGAAAAUGCAAAACUGCCUCUCCUCAUAGGAAGCAUCUCUCUAACUUAAGCUGCUGAUGAGGAAAGGAUUCUAAGUAGCAUAAAGAGACCUUCUUAAUAACAAGAUGUUUAGGGAGCUGGUCAUACGCACUGUCAGCAUCUGUUUCAUUUCAUUUUUCUGUCUGCCUUUUAUCUGAAAGCUUUUAAGAGGACAAAUUAUACAUGAAAAGGAAAAUACACGUUCUAUAUACAUCCUCUCAUCAGAAAUCAGGAGAAAAUUAAUAUUUCUGCCUUCACGAAUUGAGCUCAUAAUUCAGUCAUUGAUAAAAAAGAUUGAAUUCUGAGAUCUGAAAAAAGGGGUUGAAGACCGUACCCAAUACAUUAGGAUUUGACUUGAAUUUCAGUUAUGUAUCAUCUGUAUUUCCAUUCACUCUUGACGGAGUUUUAGAAAACCAAGUUAAAGAGUUUGAUGUAAUUACAUAACUAAAAGUGCUUUGAAAGCAGUAGCAAAUUGAUUAUUUAUUUGAUUAUGUAUGUAUUUUUACAACAGCAGCACAGACGACCAUAUUUUUCUACAAAAAUAUGAAAUGGUUUUGUGUGUUCCUGAAUGGUAGCAUUCACUUUAAAUGUCUCUUUUUAGGACAGCUUGCAUUUCUGAGUCUCGUUUGUCAUACUUCCGUUCCCAGCACUUCUCUUGCUGUUUCCUACAUACUACGUGAGCAAGUGUGACAUAGAGUGUGAAAAUAGUCUGUGAAAGCUAGCCAUAGUUUACGUGUUUGUAAAUGUAGCAAUAGUGAAACUUGAACAUUGUUUAAAUCAACAACUGCGGGGUAAUUAUGUGACAAUUUGAAUUGCUCUUUCCCACAGACUUCCUCAUUAUUUGUUCCUUUAUCCCACAGUCUGGUUCUGCUCUGUGCAAAUCACUACCUUGAAUGAGAAUUGAUACAACCUUUGAGAUGUAAUUCCAUUUCUCCAGGUUAUUCUGUGUAGCAACAACAGAGUUGAUGCCACAACCAUAAAGUGAACUGCAUGCUUCAGAAUAGUGAUGUUUGUGAGGUGUAUGUAAAGUGAAAUGAAGCUGAACUUCUUGGGAAACAAAUAAAAGGACUCUAUGGCACUUCUUGUUAUAAUAGAGGAGUGCAGAAUAACCCUAACCCUUUCAUUUCCAAGGAAAAAAAAGCCCCCAAGAGAAGAUAAAAUCUGUUCUUUCACCAACAGCAGAUCUGCUAUUGCUUACAUGACAAAGAUUUUCUAAAGAGGUUCACUGGCAAUAAGUAAUGUCUCAUACUCAAAGGCAGUAACUCUUCAGUAGUGGCUGAGUCUUUCUUCAAAGAAGGUAGUGAUUGAACCUCCCAGAAUGGAACAGGCUUGUACCUGCAUCAUUUGGAGAAAAGGUAUAAUAUAUUCUUAUAUAUUCUUUAUAUGCUAUGAAAGAGUAAUCCUGUGCUCUGGAAAGACCGAACUAAUGAGGAAUUUGGCAUAAAUGUCUAGGUUUCUAAGAUCUGAUGCCAUUGUGCCGUAAUAUUCCUCUUUGGAAAAGUGUACCAUGAAGGAUUAAGACAUCUCAGAGCUGUGCAAUUUCUGGAACCUCAGAGUCUUUAUGGUUUCAGCAGAAAGUCUUACACUGUAGUCUUUGUAUUAGCUUGGGUUGCAUUUGGGUAUAGUCAUGAUCAUUUAUAAUAUUAUGAUCUCUUCUGCAUCAGGACAGAAUUACACAUUGAAUCACUGCAUUCAACUAGCUGCUCCAUUCACACCCCCACAGCUUAACUUUUCUCUAGGGUCUGUGGAAGCCAAAUAACGGGAUGGCUGUCUGUGCACAUUAUUUCAAAAAAUUCCAUUAGCAGCUGACCGGCUGUGGCACAAAAAGGGCUGCAGUGCUCACCCAGCACACUUCAGAAAUGUGUUCCAUUGGCCAUUCUUGUCUCCUGCCACUCCAAGCAUGUGGCAGCCCAGGCCUCUCUUUUAUAGACAUUAGAAUUAGAAGUGUGCAUUUUUCCCCCCACUGAGGAGGGAAGGUUGGCUUGCAGUUAAUGAGAACGCGAAAUAAAGGACAGUGUUUAUGCCUCUAGCCUUUGAAUGGAGAAGAGGGUCUCUGCCAAGUAUCUGAGGGUGUCAGGCAAAGUUCCUGAGCCAGGUCUGUCCAAAAUGCCCUGUGGAGGCAAAAAACAAAGAAAAAGCCACUGACUGAAAUAAACACAGUGCCGAGCUUGUGAGUAUGAAAAUACAGAGGUUCACACAGCCCACAACUGCCUCUCUUCAUCUUCACAGGCUCCAUCUGUCAUUGUAAUGCAUGUGGAAAUUAAUUCAAAUAAUAACCCGCUGCUUUAGCAUAAUUGAUCUGACAACAAGUAAAUGUUUAUUGCCUCCUAGCAUUCUUAAUGAGAUUUGCAAGCAGGCUCUGAGGAAUGAAAUACCUUGUUCUUGUAUGAGAUCUCUUAAUUUUAGGUGGAAAUGAAAGCAAUUUUGUAAUGGACAGAAACUAUUCUGCAAUGUAGUUGUUCUCCUGGGGCUCAAACUGAAUUACCUAGAAAGAAGAAUUACAAAUCCAGUUCCCGAGGUUGAAGCUAGGCCAUUACAGUGACAAAAUACAGAGUUAUCACUGUAAUUUGAUGGUGUUUCCACCCCUAACUCCCCCCAUCCCUUUAAGCCAUGUUUAGCAUUAUUAACCCUACUGAGCAAAGUUCUGCUGUGUACAAAACUGCUUCACAAACAAGACCACUAAGUCAUGUUAUUCUCCAUCUGGGACUGCUUUGCCCCUUCUUAAAGAUAAGUUGUGUGACAACGAAACUCAGUUUACUGAUCUUGAGUAUGUAUUGGUGGUUAAAUGUAUGUUUUCUAAUGGAUUUAACAUCAAGGUAGUCCACUAGACUUCAUGUUUUAUUUAGUUUGAGGUUUGUUUGACUUGCAUGUUCUUCUUUACAGGGGUGCUUUGAUACUCCAUUGAAGAUAAGGUCCCAAACCUGAGUGGCAGUUCCUGAUCUGGGGUAUAACCUGUGAGUUAAGACAGAUACUUGAGGGGUCAUGGGAGCUGCAAAGUUUUGCAGCAGGCAGCAGAGCAAGACAGCGUCAGUAGAACGCCCAAAUCUUAAAUCCUAACUCAUUGCCUUACCAGAGCAUUUUUUGGUGCCCGUGUAAAAUGAAGUAUAAGCUUUUGUAAACUAUUUUUUUUUCUUAACAAAUGCAGAGCGGGAAAAACAGUGCUGAAAAAAAAAUUCUUACAUCCAAAAGCCAGCAGAUAAGCUUGCUAGUAGUAUGUGGAGCAUCACUGAGCAAAGAGGCAAGACUUUCUGAUGUGCUGCUUUCAAGUUUCUCUCUAGAAGAAACUCCAUUGCGACACCAGGUGUCACUGUAACAAAGUGAAAAGGCUGGCUUGGAAUUUGGCUUCAUACUAAGUGGAGAUAGGGGCUUUUAAAACCACUGGUGAUCUCAAAGCCCCGGGCUGUGUAUCCUGAAAGUGCCUUGUUUUCGCUAGAUUUUGUCUUGCAAGAAUACGGCUCUCCCUGACUUGUGCAGAAAGGCGCACUUCUAGCGAGGGGUUACAGCUGCUCAGGAGAGGGCCUGGGAUAGACUGUGGACAAUUUGGAAUCAGCUUUUAGAGAAGGCUUAAAAGGCCAUGCCUCCUAGCUUGGGGUCCACACUGGUAGCUGUAGUGCUGCACACAGCCAACAUGUGAAUUUGUGUGAAUUUUUACAAUGAGUGUUAAGGUCCUCAUUCAGAACUCUAGCCUUCUUUUGUGUGAAUUGAAAAAUAAAAUUAAUGCACAAAUGACAUAUAAAUCACACGUAGUUAAAGGAAUACACAUUGUUAUCACAGAAUCACAGAAUGGCUUAGGUAGGCAGGGACCUCAAAGCCUACCCAGCCCCAGCCCCCUGCCGUGGGCAAGGCUGCCACCCACUAGGUCAGGCUGCCCAGGUCCCCAGACAACCUGGCCUUGAGCACCUCCAGGGAUGGAGUGUCCGCAGCUUCUCUGGGCAGCCUGUGCCGCUGUCUCACCACCCACUAUCACCAAGGUUAUGUUAACCUCAGUUUGUGAAUUUCCUCAGUGGUCAUUUAAAACCAGCACAGAACUAUUGGGACUGAAAGAAAUUGAAAAUGAAAAGUGCUGCCACCAAAUGACAUUUCCACUGAGGAUGUAAGUUUUCAGCAGCUGCUUUGCAGGAGAACUUCUGAGCUCUUAGUACAUAAAGCCAAAAAAAGCAGGUGUGUGUCAGGGCAAAAAAAAAAUCUUCAGUUAGCCAAGAACAAGAGCAAGUGAAAAAGAGUAAUAUUGACUUCCCAUGCUAUCUUCUGUCUAAAUAAGCACUUGCCUUCCCAUGGUGGGUCAGCCUUGGCUAACUGCCAAAUGCCCACACAGCCCCACACUCACUCCCCAGUCCUGCAGGAUGGGGAGAAAGUAGAAGGAAUGUGAGAAGAGUUAUGGAUUGAGAAAAGGACAGCUUAACAGAAAGGAAAAGCUGGGGAGCAAGCAAACAAAAGGCAAGGCAUUCAUUCACCACUUCUCAUUGUCAGACUGGGCUCCAUCAAGUGAACAGUCACUUCAGAAGACAAAUGCCAUCAAAAAUAAUUUCCCUUCUUUCUCAUUUCCUUGAGCUUUUAUUACUAGCAAGACAACAUACAGAAUGGAACAUUCUUUUGGCCAGCUUGGGUCAGCUCUCCUGACUGUGUCCCCUCCCAGACUACUUCUUGCACGGUGACAGAGUAGGAAAGAGUGAAAGCCUCUUCUCUGUCCAAGCACUGUCCAGAAAUAAUCAAAACAUCAGUGUCUUACUGACAGUUUCAGACAUAAAUUCAAAGUGCAGCUCCGUAUGUGCUGCCAUGAAGACAAUUAAUUCCAUCCCAGCCAGACCCAGUUUGCCUUUUUCUGAGUGUGUUAUCUGAAUUGUCUCUACAUUACAGCAAUCCCAGUUCCAAGUACCAAAAAUGUAAGUUACUGUAGCAUUGUUAAUACAUACAUUUCUAGGCACAGAUUGAACAAAUCUGUAAGAAAAUUUGAGAGAAUGCACAUGGGGAUCCGUAUAUAUCAAACUGAUGAAAUGCCUGUAUUUCACUGGAAUUUAGAUGAUGUAUUCACUAUGGUGUAAAAUUCAAGAAAAGCAAAUCCUUUUUUGAAAGAAAGAUGUUAACAAUGACAGCAAAAGGAACAACAAAAAAGAUGAGUAAUGCCCUACUCCACAUUAGUUAGGUAUUUGAAGGCUCUAGAAAAAAAUAUCCACAAUAUUCUGCAUGCUCAUCAUUUGAACAUUUAGAAUCAAAGAAUAAUAUUUGAGCCUAUGGAGGGGAGGUGGUUUGUAUUUUCUGUUUUAGAAGUUCCUGAAUCACUUGGGAGUGUGCCUUCUGGAGAAAUGUGCAUACAAGAGUAGUCAUGAGCAGGACAAGUUACAGCUUUCAGACAUUCAUAAUGGGAAGGUGCUCAAAAGGCAUGCCAAUAAGCUGAUGGUGCAAUUGCAAUGUGAAGUUGUUGGUGCUUGCAUGAAUUGGUUGAAACUUUCAGCGAAGAUUUAAUUUUUGGAUUUCCAGAAGCUACUGAAAACUGGACUCAAGGAAUUUCUUAAAUUCAAGAAGAAUAAAGGUGGGAGGAAGCUCCUUUCGGAGAAUAACCAGCUCUUUUUCUUCCUAAGUAGGAGUGACUUGAUUAGAAUUUGACCAAGUGACAGAAGAGGGAAAAAAAGUCUUUCUUUUGGCUGAAAGAUAUAAAUUAAUAAACAGAAAUACUGUUUUCAUGAACACUCUAUUAAUCAUCAUUUCCAGACUUUAACUUAUUUACUAGCGAUUUUUUCGUGGUAUGAAAGGCAGCUACAAGAGUGAAUGCAAAUCACUGCAGGAGGCCUGGAAAAUGUCGCAUGCACCAUAAGCUUUACAAGUUUCAGAAGUCCUUAUUGUUCAAUCACUGCCUUAUUUACAAUUAAGCUUUGAUUAAUCAGUAUGUAGUAUCCAUAGUAUAUCAAUAAAUAUAUCCUAGCUUCUCUCUUUG